UACCAGCACCCCGAGUGGUCGGGACGUUUAUUGGGCCUAAAGCAUCCGUAGCCGGUUCUGCAAGUCUUCCGUUAAAUCCACCUGCUUAACAGAUGGGCUGCGGAAGAUACUAUAGAGCUAGGAGGCGGGAGAGGCAAGCGGUACUCGAUGGGUAGGGGUAAAAAUCCGUUGAUCCAUUGAAGACCACCAGUGGCGAAGGCGGCUUGCCAGAACGCGCUCGACGGUGAGGGAUGAAAGCUGGGGGAGCAAACCGG
rnacentral:rRNA from 1 species